GAGGCCUUGGCGCAAUUGGCAGCGCGUUCGCCUCCAGAGCGAAAGGUUACGAGUUCGAUUCUCGUAGGCCUCA